GCGACAAACAGUCGUGCAACACCAGCUGUGUUGUAUACUCGCUGCUCUGGUGUUACCUCCUCUCUCACGCAGUGUUCGGAGACCUAGUCACGCAGUGUUUGGAGACCUAGUCACGCAGUGUUUGGAGACCUAGUCACGCAGUGUUCGGAGACCUAGUCACGCAGUGUUCGGAGACCUAGUCACGCAGUGUUCGGAGACCUAGUCACGCAGUGUUCGGAGACCUAGUCACGCAAUGUUCGGGGACCUAGUCACGCAGUGUUCGGAGACCUUAUUACACUGUGUUAGGAUCUCCUGUCACUUAAUGUGUGAAUCCUGCAGCAGUGAGUUUUCCAGCCCUCCUCGACAGUGACUUCCCUGCUCCUGUAUCGGCCUCCCUUGCACCACAGUGGUGCUGAUAACCUCGUGUCGUUCCCUUCUCAUAUCCAGAACGACUAUGCAGUUCUCCAUUCAACUUUCUUUGGAGGUUUCUACAGCUUCAGAAUCAACUUGUUAGGAACAAAUGCAUGGCUUUCCAGCACAAAUUGGGAAAUCUACAUUAUCUUGAAACAACGGAAGUGUGGACGGUCUUGGGUUAAGGACCAGGUCGUGACCUGCAACGACCAGGUCGUGACCUUCAACGACCAGGUCGUGACCUUCAACGACCAGGUCUGCGUAAGAAAUCAAGAUAUUUCAACUCCGUCGGAAUGACUGCAAAGCCUCCCGCCACACCCAUCACCACCACCACCACCACCACCACCACCACCACCACCACCACCGAACCCACCACCACCACCGAACCCACCACCACCACCACCACCACCCAAACAACCACUACUACCCAACCCACUCCCGAUACUGACUCAGCCAUGAACAUAGGCAUCGGCGUUGGCUUCGGGUUCUUGCUUGUACUGCUCCUGUGCGCCGUCGUGUACGCCUUCUACCUGCGUCGCCGGCUGAAACACCCGACCACCAGCACCACCACAGAGGAUCCCGAGGGCCCAGGGAAGGAUCCCGAGGGCCCAGGGAAGGAUCAGGAGCCUGCCGCUCCUCCUAAGUCCAAAAUCUUAGAGCUGGCUCGCUUAAUACAGACACAUCCGCAGCGGAACGUACCCGACUCAGUCGGGUUAAUUAAAUUGAAUCCAGUACAUUCCGCUUCCAAUAACGACGGUCCUUACUCCUACGUUGACUUGGAAUAUAUAAGUAGGACCCUAGAGAGAAAGGGAGAGUCAGGGAGCAAUGUUCCUAAUGAUAAUAUGGCAAAAUUCUUGUGCCCAGAACUUGGAGAUCACGUUUAUUUAAAUAUCGGAAACGUCUUAACAGAACCUACAAGCAUACAGGAACCAGUGUAUGAAAAUAUUAGUGUAACAGAAUACGCCAAUUAUCCUGUUUGCGAUGGAAGUUCCGGUGGGGGUACAAGCGUUCAGAAAUCGUCGAGGUCAACAACGCCUGUAGGUGAAGUGAGACCGGGUCAAAGGUCACUCGACCGCGACAAUCAGAACCCACCGACCCCCGAACACAUCUACGAGGAGGUCACUGAUCUAGGGUAACUGAUAAGAAGUGAUCGAAGGAAUGACCAUUGUGGGAGGAGAUGAAACUGGAGAUGGUCUAAUAUGUGAAUAAAAAAGAUGCACUUGAUGCGAAAAUAGUACAUAAAAACCGAUGAGUCUUUGUCUGAAACUUGAUAUGUGACGCUAAGCAUGCUGAAGCCUACCCCGUCUGUGCCCUGGGCAAGAUUGACAGGGCACAGGUCUGUGCCCUGGGCAUGAUUGGCAGGGGCACAGGUCUAUGCCCCUGCCAUGAUUAAUGUCCAGUCCGUUCUUCCUCUUCAAAAACACACACAUUUACGAGCUGCUUAAAAACAAAUUGUGUAGCCGCAAAAUGAGAGACAAGAGUGCUUUAGUCUGCUAUAUAGAGCUCAAAACUCGGAGCUCCUGAGAGCAAGAGUCUUGGGAUAAAGAGUAGAGGAGAGAAAGAUAUGCAAGUUUAAGGUGGAAGACUGACGAGAUAAGAUAAGGUAAUUAGCAGGAGAAAGCGCUGGAUCUGUAUGGCUGCGUACCUCUGAAUAAACAGACAAGGCGCUGGGAUACGAGGACAAAGAACUGGGAUACGAGGACAAGAAGCUGGGAUAUAAAAGAGCAAUAGGUGCCUAAUCAAUGGUGAAAGUGCUUCAGCGGCAACCUGUCCUCAGGCCAGGAUCGUUAAAGUCGCGGCUGCCCGCCAAGACACGUUUCAACAGACUGUGUAUUAAAAAUAGGUUUGUUCUCAUUUAUACAUUGAUAUUAUUAUAUAUUUAAGUUGUGUGUAUAGCUAGGCGUAGGUUAGGUUAGGUGUUUAGAUUCUGUUGGCGAUUAUUUGCAUUUGCAGUACGUGGGGUGAAGCAUUUACGGAGUUACGAUUCGAACAGAGGUCGUCAGCGAAGCACUGUUCGAGAAAUGUUCGAACGUUAUCAGUUGGGAGUCGUGUGAAAACGAUUUUUCAUUCAUAAACAUGGGGUUUGUCGGCUGGAUUAAUGAGUAUUUGAUCUUUGUUGAUGAGGACGGGCUGUCAUCAAAUAUAAGAGUUCGGAGGACAAAGUCAAGUGAGGCUUUUGGAGAGUCGAAGCAACUGAGACAAGUAAAACUGUACGCUAUCCAUGACCAUCACCGGGUCGAGGACCGGGCCGCGGGGACGCUAAGCCCCGAAUUCAUCUCAAGAUAGAUCACUCCUCAACUACGCUUUCGCUUAUAAGGACUUCAUCAUCUAACUCCUUCUUGCAAGGUUGAUCUUGCUAUUUUAGAAUUGCUUCACGUUUGAAUUGCUGAGUAGAAUAACUCAGUAACCUCGACCCGGAUUCACAAAGCAGUUACGCAAGUACUUACGAAAGUGUACAUCUUUCCUCAAUCUUUGACGGCUUUGGUUACAUUUAUUAAACAGUUUACAAGCAUGAAAACUUCCCAAUCAACUGUUGUUAUUAU